CCCGGCGACCGGCGCGACGGUGAGUAACGCGUAUGCAACUUACCUAUCAGGAGGGGAUAACCCGGACGAAGUCGGACUAAUACCGCAGGAAGCAGGGGCCCCGCAUGGGGAUAUUUGCUAAAGAUUCAUCGCUGAUAGAUAGGCAUGCGUUCCAUUAGGCAGUUGGCGGGGUAACGGCCCACCAAACCGACGAUGGAUAGGGGUUCUGAGAGGAAGGUCCCCCACAUUGGUACUGAGACACGGACCAA
rnacentral:rRNA from 1 species